rnacentral:rRNA from 1 species
GACGAACGCUGGCGGCGUGCCUAAUACAUGCAAGUAGAACGCUGAAGGAGGAGCUUGCUCUUCUGGAUGAGUUGCGAACGGGUGAGUAACGCGUAGGUAACCUGCCUGGUAGCGGGGGAUAACUAUUGGAAACGAUAGCUAAUACCGCAUAACAGUAGAUGUUGCAUGACAUUUGCUUAAAAGGUGCAAUUGCAUCACUACCAGAUGGACCUGCGUUGUAUUAGCUAGUUGGUGGGGUAACGGCUCACCAAGGCGACGAUACAUAGCCGACCUGAGAGGGGUGUCGGCCAAACUGGGAAUGAGACACGGCCCAGACUCCUACGGGAGGCAGCAGUAGGGAAUCUUCGGCAAUGGACGGAAGUCUGACCGAGCAACGCCGCGUGAGUGAAGAAGGUUUUCGGAUCGUAAAGCUCUGUUGUAAGAGAAGAACGAGUGUGAGAGUGGAAAGUUCACACUGUGACGGUAUCUAACCAGAAAGGGACGGCUAACUACGUG